GCGAACGCUGGCGGCAGGCCUAACACAUGCAAGUCGAACGAACCUUUCGGGGUUAGUGGCGGACGGGUGAGUAACACGUGGGAACGUGCCUUUAGGUUCGGAAUAACUCAGGGAAACUUGUGCUAAUACCGAAUGUGCCCUUCUGGGGAAAGAUUUAUCGCCUUUAGAGCGGCCCGCGUCUGAUUAGCUAGUUGGUUGAGGUAAUGGCUCACCAAGGCGACGAUCAGUAGCUGGUCUGAGAGGAUGAUCAGCCACAUUGGGACUGAGACACGGCCCAAACUCCUACGGGAGGCAGCAGUGGGGAAUCUUGCGCAAUGGGCGAAAGCCUGACGCAGCCAUGCCGCGUGAAUGAUGAAGGUCUUAGGAUUGUAAAAUUCUUUCACCGGGGACGAUAAUGACGGUACCCGGAGAAGAAGCCCCGGCUAACUUCGUG
rnacentral:rRNA from 1 species